AUUGAACGCUGGCGGCAUGCCUUACACAUGCAAGUCGAACGGUAACAGGUUAAGCUGACGCGUGGCGAACGGGUGAGUAAUACAUCGGAACGUGCCCAGUAGUGGGGGAUAGCCCGGCGAAAGCCGGAUUAAUACCGCAUACGACCUAAGGGUGAAAGGGGGGGAUCGCAAGACCUCUCGCUAUUGGAGCGGCCGAUGUCAGAUUAGCUAGUUGGUGGGGUAAAAGCUCACCAAGGCGACGAUCUGUAGCUGGUCUGAGAGGACGACCAGCCACACUGGGAAUGGACAACGGCCAAGACCCAGCAGGGGGGAAGAAGGGGGAAAUUGGGAACAAGGGGGGCAAGCCGGACCCAGCAGGGCGGGGGGGGGAAAGAAGGCGUGGGGGUGGAAAACGGGUUUGGUAGGGGAAGAAACAGUUGGGUUUAAUACCGGGGGGGGAUGACGGAACAGAAAAAAAAAGAACCGGAAAAAUACGGG
rnacentral:rRNA from 1 species